CGCGAGCUAGCUUAACGGCAGAGCGCCUGGCUCAUAACCAGGAAAGUGGAGGUUCGAAUCCUUCGCUCGCUACAA
rnacentral:tRNA from 1 species